GUCCCUGUAGCUUAAACCAAAGCAUGGCGCUGAAGAUGCCAAGACGGGCACUACCCCCAAGGACA
rnacentral:tRNA from 1 species